rnacentral:lncRNA from 1 species
UAUAUAUAUAUAUAUAUAUAUAUAUAGUGGAGGACAAUUUCGAGCUUUCCAAAUGUCCACAUCCUUAUUAUUAGUGUGCCCAAUACAAACAAGUCUGCCGGCAUAGGUCCUCAUUGAAGAGUUGUAGGUUUUAGACUUGUUUUUCUUCCUUUCGGAUUUCAAUUUUACGUGAUUAUAUAGGUCAUGUAACAGAAAUCAAGCAUUGGAGCUUGUGAUAUUGGGACAAAAUUAUGCCUUGCAAUAGAAAUGCGAUUCAUAUGAGGGGGUACAAGAUAUAGUUUUUGAUGCAAAACCACAAAGAUAAAUUGAUCCAACCUAGUUAGAGCCGAACAUGGAGAAUAAUUAUCAAUUAUGAUUUACUGUCAUGCCUCCAAUCCGAGAUCAUUAGCCGAAGGUUGUGGCAACUACCGCAUACUUAUAGAAAACUCUUUGUAUAAAUAUUCAAGGCAUCUCAUGGUAUCAUAAACAAGCAAUGGAAUAAAUUUAAAUAAUCAAUGUU